rnacentral:rRNA from 1 species
AUUGAACGCUGGCGGCAUGCCUUACACAUGCAAGUCGAACGGCAGCACGGGAGCAAUCCUGGUGGCGAGUGGCGAACGGGUGAGUAAUAUAUCGGAACGUGCCCAGUCGUGGGGGAUAACGCAGCGAAAGCUGUGCUAAUACCGCAUACGAUCUACGGAUGAAAGCGGGGGAUCGCAAGACAUCGCGCGAUUGGAGCGGCCGAUAUCAGAUUAGCUAGUUGGUGAGGUAAAGGCUCACCAAGGCGACGAUCUGUAGCUGGUCUGGGGGGAAGACCAGCCACACUGGAACUGAGACCCGGUCCAGACUCCUACGGGAGGCAGCAGUGGGGAAUUUUGGACAAUGGGAGCAAGCCUGAUCCAGCAAUGCCGCGUGCAGGAUGAAGGCCUUCGGGUUGUAAACUGCUUUUGUACGGAACGAAACGGUGAGCUCUAAUACAGUUUGCUAAUGACGGUACCGUAAGAAUAAGCACCGGCUAACUACGUGCCAGCCGCCGCCGUAA